rnacentral:lncRNA from 1 species
CUCUUUUCGGACUCAGCCCGCCUGCACCCAGGUGAAAUAAUCAGCCUUGUUGCUCACACAAAGCCUGUUUGGUGGUCUUUUCACACAGAUGCCUGUGAAACCCUGUACAUACUGACAGAAUAUAUUUUGCACUACAAAAGAAGAAAUCCAAGCUUGUGAAUUUGGAAGUUUAUGUAGAUAUUGCUCUACACAUACCACUCUCUUCUCUAAAGUAAGCUGAGUUUUCUCUGAGAAGAGAAAGGUGAAGAUCCCUGCCCCCAUUAUGCAAGCACUUGGCACCCGAGAAGAAAAGUUUUAUUGCCCUUUGAAUGGAAGCAGGUGACUCCAGGUCUGACACUUGGCCUCUGAGCCCAAGCUAAGCCAUCUUAUCCCCUGUGACCUGCACAUACACAUACAGAUGGCCAGUUCCUGCCUUAACUGAUGACAUUGUCUUGUGAAAUUCCUUCUCCUGGAUCAUCCUGGCUCAAAAGCUCCCCCACUGAGUACCUUGUGACCCCCAUUCCUGCCCGCCAGAGAACAACCCCCCUUUUUCCUUUACCUACCCAAAUCCUAUAAAACGGCCCCACCCCAUCCCCC